rnacentral:sRNA from 1 species
AGUAAACCACGCGCUGACCUCAAGCUUUUCCUUCUCCUUCCCGGUCAUUCACUGAUGGGAUACAUCGUUUUGUUUGCUCUUUCUCUCAUGUCUACUGGCCACACAGAAUGACUUGGAAGUGGACACUCACUGCUUACUUUUUUGAGAGGAGGAAAGCAAAUGUGUGUACAAACUCGGUGGACCCAAGAUCCAUUUCCAAUACGUGCUGGUAAGUUUCCCAUCUUGAAAGUGAGACAGGAACACAUCCAUCACGAUAUUCUUCUUUUCUUAUGGCCAACACCUUUACUCUUGUAACGUAAGGUUUCACAAAGAGUUCCCCAAAUAAAGGUAGAUCAAAAGUGGUUAGGUACUUAACCUUGGUAGUCAUGGGUAGUCACAUAACUCAGUCUUCAACUGUCAAUUUGGUAAAGUAGACAGGGUCCUAUCUAACCUUAGUAGGUCCUAGUACCAUGUAGUCCUCUCUUCCAUAACUUCCAAUUAGGACUCUUUUUGAUGGUAGUACACAAGAAGAGAAUAGCUCCAAGAAGCUCCAUAGACCAUGAUGAAAAUCUCUCAGCUAACCAUUGUUCUGAUCCUCCAUGAACUCUGUAAGUCUGACUUUGCUCCGUUUCCUUGUACUUCCAGCAUGCCCCACAUUUGACCAUGUGGGGAAAGCAGUUAUUAAGAACCCAGUGUGAGCCAUGCCAGCUGGAUGUAAUUUUUAGAGUAUGGCUUUCAUCCUCUAUUUUCGGAAGGCAUUCUAGUCAGUUUCCAGUUGGUCAGCAUUCCUGAGACACGUGGUUCAUCAGAGGUCACUCACAGGGCCGGCCCGGGCGUGAGAAGGAGGCAUCCUACACACGGGUCUUUCAAAGGAAAGCAACGCUGUUUUAACUGAGAUGCCACCAAGUUCUGUUACACUGCAGCUGCCAUCCUGCAGCUCGGAUUUCUCUAAACAUUGCUAAGAGCCAGGGUAAGGGAUUAUCAAAGUAUUACGAGUUAUUUCAGAAAUGCUUGGAAUGGUGCGCUUGUUAUUCAAGGAACUUGCUUGGUACUAGCUGACAUAUUCUCAGAUGAAAGACGCUGGGUCCAAAGUAGAUAAACCUUUUAUCAUACAAUGAUUUGCAACAGAUGCAAAAAUCCCCUUCCUCUUUUCCCAGAUGCCGUUUCUACAUUCAGGAUGAUCUAUACUCACAUUCUCAGCAAAGGAUUGAAUGUGACAAAAAUGCUUCUUUCUGGAUUUCAUCUUUCACCAAGGGAAAGUUUUCAUACAGUGAAAUGUGCACAGCUCUGGGGGGGUCUGUAUAAUUCACUGAGCUUUGAUAACUGUAUAUUCCUGGGUUAUUAUUUACAAGGAAGAUACAGAUAUUUCUCUUACCCCAGCAAAUUUGCCCAUUCAUAUUUAUAUUCUUCCCACUUCCUGUAGGCAAGUGUUUACGUGUUUUUCUGUCAGCACAUAUUUUUGCCUAUUCCGGAACUUUGGGUGUGUAAGCCCAAGCAAUGUGUCCUCUUGCACAUCUGUGUUCUGUUCUUUGGUUCAUUGUCAGGCUUUCGCCGUUGGGCAUAUUGCUGCACAGAUUAGUAGCUUUCUGAGUUUGUGCAAUCUGUGAGUAAUUUUUUUCCCCCUCACAAGAUGUGAGAAAUCUCCAGCUAUGACCUAAAGUAUUUGUUUCUUCUCAUUCGUUUUCUCAGGUCACUUCAUCUUGUCCUGAAUGCCGCUGAAACUUCCUUUUUCUUCUUUUCUCCAGAGUGGGCUUCUGAUAGUUUAAUCUGAAGUUCAUUAACUUAUUUUACAAGUUUGCAUUCAUUCACUGGAACAUGGUUAAUUUAUUUAAUUAUUCAUUUUGUGGGUGUGUGUGUAUG